rnacentral:rRNA from 1 species
AGAUUGAACGCUGGCGGCAGGCCUAACACAUGCAAGUCGAGCGGUAGAGAGGUGCUUGCACCUCUUGAGAGCGGCGGACGGGUGAGUAAUGCCUAGGAAUCUGCCUAGUGGUGGGGGAUAACGUUCGGAAACGGACGCUAAUACCGCAUACGUCCUACGGGAGAAAGCGGGGGACCUUCGGGCCUCGCGCCAUUAGAUGAGCCUAGGUCGGAUUAGCUAGUUGGUGAGGUAAUGGCUCACCAAGGCGACGAUCCGUAACUGGUCUGAGAGGAUGAUCAGUCACACUGGAACUGAGACACGGUCCAGACUCCUACGGGAGCAGCAGUGGGAAUAGUUGGACAAGUGGGACGAAAGCC